GCAAUUUGAAGCUUUAAGCAGCAAGGACAGAUACAUAUCAGUGUAAAUUACAAUUAUACUGUUUUAGAAAUUGGACAAAAUAUAAAAUUUCAACUGUAAUAAAGGUUGGUGAUACCAUAAACUAUUUUUUUUUUUUUUUCUGUUCCACCUUAUAGCACUUUAGAAUUAAGACUCGCAAGGGAGAAAAAGCCAAAAGAAGAAAACAAUAAAGUUUCACAAUGAAACUCUACCAGGCAAACAAGAAUAUUAUUCGCUAGCUAGGCCAUCAAUGUAAAGACGUUAGCAAAGCAAGCUAAGUUGAUGUAGGAGGCGGUGGAGGAGAGUAAUUUGAGAUGGGAUCGGGAUCGGGACCGGGACGAGUCGUUUCCUUUGUUUUUGGAGCUGGCGGAGGUGAUAUGUCAACAGUCCUCUUGGACAAUACCCUGAAUUUGUAUGGAAAGUGAUGGGAAGAAAUUUUGUAUAAGGAAGACACUGAAACAGCUUCAGUGCUGGCUUGGACUGAUAUGCUUUUGCCAUGUGAAAGUAGGAGGGCAGAGAUCAAAAUGGAAAUUAGCAGCCAAGAAAUACUGGGUUUCAUUGCCAUGGUGAUAAUAUUAUAGUACUGCUACAAGGCGCUAAAGAAAU
rnacentral:lncRNA from 1 species